CGUUUGAACCGAGCCUUUACCGAAACUGGUAGUGCCAAGAAUUAGCGCUCGUUGAUGGUCUUGUAAAGCGCCAGCGACAAUCUCGGAGGCCGACGCAGAACCGCCAUUGAUUAGCACUACUAAAGGAUAAUCAUAACUGGCUUGAUGGUUGCUAGCGUCAUAUGACAUGGCUGAAUGUUUAAUGCGGCCCUCAGUGUAAACAAUUAAUCCUUGCUCGAUGAAAGCAUCCGUCACCUCAACAGCUGCUUGAAGGAUGCCGCCAGGAUUGUUGCGCA
rnacentral:ncRNA from 1 species